GACGAACGCUGGCGGCGUGCUUAACACAUGCAAGUCGAACGGAAAGGCCCUGCUUUUGUGGGGUGCUCGAGUGGCGAACGGGUGAGUAACACGUGAGUAACCUGCCCCUGACUUUGGGAUAACUUCAGGAAACUGGGGCUAAUACCGGAUAGGAGCUCCUGCUGCAUGGUGGGGGUUGGAAAGUUUCGGCGGUUGGGGAUGGACUCGCGGCUUAUCAGCUUGUUGGUGGGGUAGUGGCUUACCAAGGCUUGGACGGGUAGCCGGCCUGAGAGGGUGACCGGCCACAUUGGGACUGGGAUACGGCCCGGACUCCAACGGGAGGCGGCGGUGGGGAAUAUUGCACAAUGGGCGGAGGCCUGAUGCGGCAACGCCGCGUGCGGGAUGACGGCCUUGGGGUGGUAAACGGCUUUCGCCGGUAACGAGGCGUUAGUGACGGUAAUGGGUGAAGAAGCACCGGCUAACUACGUG
rnacentral:rRNA from 1 species